CUAGAAAAACAGGAGUUGAACCUGUACAAAAGGGAUCAAAACCCUCCAUACUUCCUUUAUAUUAUUUUCUA
rnacentral:tRNA from 1 species